rnacentral:rRNA from 1 species
CCUACGGGUGGCAGCAGUGAGGAAUAUUGGUCAAUGGACGAGAGUCUGAACCAGCCAAGUAGCGUGAAGGAUGACUGUCCUAUGGGUUGUAAACUUCUUUUAUAUGGGAAUAAAGUGUUCCACGUGUGGGAUUUUGUAUGUACCAUAUGAACAAGGAUCGGCGCACGCCGUGCCAGCAGCCGCGGUAAUACGGAGGGUCCGAGCGUUACCCGGAUUUAUUGGGUUUAAAGGGAGCGUAGGUGGGUUGUUAAGUCAGUUGUGAAAGUUUGCGGCUCAACCGUAAAAUUGCAGUUGAAACUGGCAGUCGUGAGUGCAGUAGAGGUGGGCGGAAUUCGUGGUGUAGCGGUGAAAUGCUUAGAUAUCACGAAGAACUCCGAUUGCGAAGGCAGCUCACUGGACUGCAACUGACGCUGAGGCUCGAAAGUGUGGGUAUCAAACAGGAUUAGAUACCCUUGUAGUC